AUACGGAGGGGGCUAGCGUUGUUCGGAAUUACUGGGCGUAAAGCGCGUGUAGGCGGAUCGUUAAGUCAGGGGUGAAAGCCCGGGGCUCAACCCCGGAACUGCCCUUGAUACUGGCGAUCUAGAGUCCGGAAGAGGUGGGCGGAAUUCCCGGUGUAGAGGUGAAAUUCGUAGAUAUCGGGAGGAACACCAGUGGCGAAGGCGGCUCACUGGUCCGGCACUGACGCUGAGACGCGAAAGAGUGGGGAGCAAACAGGAUUAGAAACCCUAGUAGUCC
rnacentral:rRNA from 1 species